UGGUUCUGGCAUCGAUGAAGAACGCAGCGAAAUGCGAUAAGUAGUGUGAAUUGCAGAAUUCAGUGAAUCAUCGAAUCUUUGAACGCACAUUGCGCCCCUUGGUAUUCCAUGGGGCAUGCCUGUUCGAGCGUCAUUUGUACCUUCAAGCUCUGCUUGGUGUUGGGUGUUUUGUCCUCUCCAUUGCGUUUGGACUCGCCUUAAAGCAAUUGGCAGCCAGUGUAUUGGUUUUAAGCGCAGCACAUCUUGCGUCUUUUUCCUAUAACACUCGCGUCCAUUAAGCCUUUUUAUCACUUUUGACCUCGGAUCAGGUAGGGAUACCCGCUGA
rnacentral:misc_RNA from 1 species